rnacentral:misc_RNA from 1 species
CCAUUACAGAAGUGUAUAUUUUUAGUUCCGACAAAACCACGCUAAACAAGGGCUCAGUUGGUACGUGUAAGGUUCACAGCGGUCAUCAAAAAGCGACAUGUUAAAACCUGAAGACCAGCGCUGUUGACGACAGGGUUUGGCUGAAAAAACUAACUCUCCUCAAGAAUUUGAGUAAAUUGGGUUGAAAACUUGACAUAUUAUCAGGGACAAACUUUGAAAUCCAGGACAGAAGUAUUUUCGCAUCACAACUUGAAACUCUUCACCACUCAUGGAUUUUGACUCAUCGACCCUAUCUUCUGCAUAGGAAGAUGAGGACACUACGGCCGUAAUGCUGCAUGUGUUCAGUAAGAAGCUGUGGACAUACACUAAUGUGUUGGAUGUCAGUCUCAGUGUGGCUGAUCUCGUCACUGACCUAGGGUUACCCAUGAGCGUAGUGGCUUUACUCAGCCCUGGUGAUACCUGCCCGUUCUCCACCAAAGUGCCUUGUUUCCCGGGCCGUUUGCUGCUCUACAUUAGCGCGGGAGCCAGCUUGCUUCAUCUUGCCAGCAUUACCUUGAACAGAGCUGUCCUCAUCAAGCGUCCCUUGACCACAUAUCGCUGGCUGUAUACCAAAUGUAACCUGGUCCUCAUGACAGCGACUAUUUGGGCUAUUGCUAUCUUAGCGAUGCUUUUACCGCCUCUAUUGACGUGGGAGGAGUUGCCCUAGACAAGCAAUUCCGCAGCUGUACCGACCUGCAGAAUCAUCCUAGAGGCAUGAACUUCGAUCAAAUUCAGACUUACCCUCUACAUCGUACCCUCGAGUGUUGUCUUUUCAUGCUAUAAUCAUCUUCAAAUUCGUUCACGUGCAGCGCCAUUUUAAAACUCAAAAGGCCUUGGUUCAGGAACCAAUGGCGGACCAUUCAUCAGGUGGACAAUCUUAGAGUUACCUAAAGAUGUUCAUGAUGUUACGCGCCAGCAAAGAAUUAGUCGACAGCAGCUUCAAAUCACUAAGAAUCUCUUCUUGACAGUGUGCGUUUUUUUCUGUUGGGUGACCCCUUUCUUUAUAGCAAAUCUGUUCACCACCACGUACCGUUUCUUGCUCUUUGGCGCAAUCAUUUUUCUUGGCAAUAGCUGCGCUCAUCCCAUCAUCUACGCGGAUAAACAUCCACAGUUUAAGAAAGUGAUGCGCUGCAUGAUGAAAUGCUAGCACUCUCAGAUCGAAGAACAGUCAGGCACACUGAGAGUUCUCAUGUUUGUGGAAACAAGAAGAAAUAGUUCAUCGGGUGUAGCCACAGCAUUAAUGGAUUAAUCACUGUUGGUUUUGGCACCAGUCAAGUAGCAUUCCCAAUGAUACACACAAGAUCUGACAAUGUAGCAGCCCCUUUAUAUUCUCGAUACGAUUUGUGUCAUGUGAAAGGGUAAAGAAUGUGUAACGACCACUCAGACUCAUAUAAAAACCCUGAUCUAAAAUUUAAUGCAUGCAUUCCCCUUAUGGAGCCCCCGGGCAAACUGUUGAAGAAUUGUGUGAAACAUAUGUAGGCCCCAUCUUUCAUUCCAAUGUAUCUGCUCCGAGCGGAACAAAAGAUGGCGAUUUUUUGGUACUCACCGCGUA